rnacentral:rRNA from 1 species
CCUACGGGAGGCAGCAGUGGGGAAUAUUGGGCAAUGGACGCAAGUCUGACCCAGCAACGCCGCGUGAAGGAAGAAGGCUUUCGGGUUGUAAACUUCUUUUAAGGGGGAAGAGCAGAAGACGGUACCCCUUGAAUAAGCCACGGCUAACUACGUGCCAGCAGCCGCGGUAAUACGUAGGUGGCAAGCGUUGUCCGGAUUUACUGGGUGGAAAGGGCGUGCAGCCGGAGAGACAAGUCAGAUGUGAAAUCCACGGGCUCAACCCGUGAACUGCAUUUGAAACUGUUUCCCUUGAGUGUCGGAGAGGUAAUCGGAAUUCCUUGUGUAGCGGUGAAAUGCGUAGAUAUAAGGAAGAACACCAGUGGCGAAGGCGGAUUACUGGACGAUAACUGACGGUGAGGCGCGAAAGCGUGGGGAGCAAACAGGAUUAGAUACCCGAGUAGUC